rnacentral:rRNA from 1 species
GACGAACGCUGGCGGCGUGCCUAAUACAUGCAAGUCGAACGCAUUUUCUUUCACCGUAGCUUGCUACACCGAAAGAAAAUGCGUGGCGAACGGGUGAGUAACACGUGGGUAACCUGCCCAUCAGCGGGGGAUAACACUUGGAAACAGGUGCUAAUACCGCAUAAUUCCAUUUACCGCAUGGUAAAUGGAUGAAAGGCGCUUUUGCGUCACUGAUGGAUGGACCCGCGGUGCAUUAGCUAGUUGGUGGGGUAACGGCCUACCAAGGCUGCGAUGCAUAGCCGACCUGAGAGGGUGAUCAGCCACACUGGGACUGAGACACGGCCCAGACUCCUACGGGAGGCAGCAGUAGGGAAUCUUCGGCAAUGGACGCAAGUCUGACCGAGCAACGCCGCGUGAGUGAAGAAGGUUUUCGGAUCGUAAAACUCUGUUGUUAGAGAAGAACAAGGAUGAGAGUGGAAAGUUCAUCCCUUGACGGUAUCUAACCAGAAAGCCACGGCUAACUACGUG